rnacentral:rRNA from 1 species
AGAGUUUGAUUCUGGCUCAGAACGAACGCUGGCAGCGUGGAUUAGGCAUGCAAGUCGAACGGGAACCUACGGGUUCAAGUUUUCGAACGAGAACCUGUGGGGGAUAGUGGCGAAAGGGUGAGUAACGCGUGGGUAAUCUGCCCCUAAGUUGGGGAUAACGGUUGGAAACGGCCGAUAAUACCGAAUGUGGUCUCCCGAGGCAUCUCGGGGUGACUAAAGGUGGGGACCCUUCGGGGCCUGCCGCUUGGAGAGGAACCCGCGUACCAUCAGCUUGUUGGUGGGGUAACGGCCUACCAAGGCUUACGGUUAGCUGGUCUGAGAGGAUGGUCAGCCACACUGGGACUGAGACACUGCCCAGACUCCUACGGGAGGCUGCAGUCGAGGAUCAUUGUCAAUGCGCGAAAGCGUGAACAUGCGACGCUGCGUGGAGGAUGACGGCCUUCGGGUUGUAAACUCCUGUCAUUCGGGACAAAUUGUCCGGCCCCCAAUACGGGUUGGGCUUGAUGGUACCGGAAGAGGAAGCCACGGCUAACUCUGUGCCAGCAGCCGCGGUAUACAGAGGUGGCGAGCGUUGUUCGGAUUUACUGGGCGUAAAGGGUGCGUAGGUGGCAACGUGUGUCGAGUGUGAAAGCCCACUGCCCAACAGUGGAAAUGCACUCGAAACUGCGUAGCUAGAGUACAGGAGGGGAGAGCGGAAUUCUUGGUGUAGCGGUGAAAUGCGUUGAUAUCAAGAAGAACACCGGUGGCGAAGGCGGCUCUCUGGAAUGUUACUGACACUGAUGCACGAAAGCUGGGGGAGCGAACAGGAUUAGAUACCCUGGUAGUCCCAGCCGUAAACGGUGCGCACUUGGUGUGGGAGGUAUUGACCCCUUCCGUGCCGGAGCUAACGCGUUAAGUGCGCCGCCUGGGGAGUACGGCCGCAAGGCUAAAACUCAAAGAAAUUGACGGGGGCCCGCACAAGCGGAGGAGCAUGUGGCUUAAUUCGAUGCAACGCGAAGAACCUUACCAGGGCUUGACAUGCAGCUGCAAGCCCCCCGAAAGGGGGGAAGCCUUCGAGGGUGCUGCACAGGUGCUGCAUGGCUGUCGUCAGUUCGUGCCGUGAGGUGUUGGGUUAAGUCCCGCAACGAACGCAACCCUUGUGUCUAGUUGCCACUUCGCCUUUGGCGGAAGCACUCUAGACAGACUGCCCGUACAAGCGGGAGGAAG